UUAGAGUGUAGAGGUGGCAGGUAGCCUAGUGGUUAGAGUGUAGAGGUGGCAGGUAGUCUAGUGGUUAGAGUGUAGAGGUGGCAGGGUAGCCUAGUGGUUAGAGUGUAGAGGUGGCAGGUAGCCUAGUGGUUAGAGUGUAGAGGUGGCAGGUAGCCUAGUGGUUAGAGUGUAGAGGUGGCAGGUAGUCUAGUGGUUAGAGUGUAGAGGCGGCAGGUAGUCUAGUGGUUAGAGUGUAGAGGUGGCAGGUAGUCUAGUGGUUAGAGUGUAGAGGUGGCAGGUAGUCUAGUGGUUAGAGUGUAGAGGUGGCAGGUAGUCUAGUGGUUAGAGUGUAGAGGCGGCAGGUAGUCUAGUGGUUAGAGUGUAGAGGCGGCAGGUAGUCUAGUGGUUAGAGUGUAGAGGCGGCAGGUAGCCUAGUGGUUAGAGUGUAGAGGCGGCAGGUAGCCUAGUGGUUAGAGUGUAGAGGCGGCAGGUAGCCUAGUGGUUAGAGUGUAGAGGCGGCAGGUAGCCUAGUGGUUAGAGUGUAGAGGUGGCAGGUAGUCUAGUGGUUAGAGUGUAGAGGUGGCAGGUAGCCUAGUGGUUAGAGUGUAGAGGUGGCAGGUAGCCUAGUGGUUAGAGUGUAGAGGCGGCAGGUAGCCUAGUGGUUAGAGUGUAGAGGCGGCAGGUAGCCUAGUGGUUAGAGUGUAGAGGUGGCAGGUAGUCUAGUGGUUAGUGUGUAGAGGUGGCAGGUAGCCUAGUGGUUAGAGUGUAGAGGUGGCAGGUAGUCUAGUGGUUAGAGUGUAGAGGUGGCAGGUAGUCUAGUGGUUAGAGUGUAGAGGUGGCAGGUAGUCUAGUGGUUAGAGUGUAGAGGUGGCAGGUAGCCUAGUGGUUAGAGUGUAGAGGUGGCAGGUAGCCUAGUGGUUAGAGUGUAGAGGUGGCAGGUAGUCUAGUGGUUAGAGUGUAGAGGUGGCAGGUAGUCUAGUGGUUAGAGUGUAGAGGUGGCAGGUAGUCUAGUGGUUAGAGUGUAGAGGUGGCAGGUAGUCUAGUGGUUAGAGUGUAGAGGUGGCAGGUAGUCUAGUGGUUAGAGUGUAGAGGUGGCAGGUAGUCUAGUGGUUAGAGUGUAGAGGUGGCAGGUAGUCUAGUGGUUAGAGUGUAGAGGCGGCAGGUAGUCUAGUGGUUAGAGUUUAGAGGUGGCAGGUAGUCUAGUGGUUAGAGUGUAGAGGUGGCAGGUAGUCUAGUGGUUAGAGU